ensembl:lncRNA
GAGAAAUAAGAAACUAUUUAAUUCUUAGCCAUUUCUUAUUUUCUAGCAAGUGGAAACGAGUGAAAAGUGAUGCUGACUAUACAGCACAAUAACGUAGCAGCUUGUAAACACACAGAAGGCUGCUGAAAUUACUUAACAAAAACAUUCUGUAAUCAUUUUCUGGAAGAAUGUGCACGAGACCACACUGGGCACCAGAUUUUUAUUAAUAUCCUGUCCUCCUGUCUGAACUUUCAUUUAUAAUACACUUUCUUUUGCUAUCAACCUUUACUACAACCCUGCUGUUUCUCAUCUUCCUACAAAAGUGAGGGCCUGCCCAGUGGUGAUGGGCGUCCAACCUUCCACUGUCAGCAAACACCAUGCAAUUUUCAUAGAAUUAUAGAAUCAUAGAAUGGCCUGGGUUGAAAAGCACCACAGUGAUCAUCUAGUUUCAACCCCCUGCUAUGUGCAGGGUCACCAACUACUAGUCCAGGCUGCCCAGAGCCAUAUCCAGCCUGGCUUUGAAUGCCUCCAGGGAUGGGGCAUCCACAACCUCCUUGGGCAACCUGUUCCAGUGUGUCACCACCCUUGGUGUGAAAAACUCCCUCCUAAUAUCUAACCUAAACAUCCCCUGUCUUAGUUUAAAACCAUUCCCCCUUGUCCUAUCACUAUCCAGGGAACAAUCUCAACCACACAGGACUUCAAGGUGAGGGUCUCCAAGGCCCAAGGAUGUUAUGGCAAUCUCAGUGAUAAACAGCAGCUGGGCUGAGUACAGAGACCCAAAUACGAUGUUUCCAGAGAAAUGCUAGGCCAUGUGCACAGACUUGCCCCAUGACAGCAGAAUGGAGGAGGUCUGAGCAAGAUUCCAGCAAAGCACCUGGCACUGAACAGGGCACCAUGGUAGAAAGGGGGAAGAACUGAGCUUUCAGGUCAUGGGAGGGAGCUUAGAUGGAAUUUAGGAAGCUGUGGAAGCAAGGAAGCAUUUCAGGGAAGGGCACAAGGAAAGAGUUCUCAGAGUACUGUGGGCAAAGGUCAGAAAUUCGUAGGCAAUCGGCUCUAAGUGUUCCCGUGCAAUGCAGUGCUUGUGCCUGGCAGGCAAGGCAAGGGUUUUUGGACACUGGACACUGAGGAGUUGGUUCUGGAGAGCUGUUUGGUGAUUGCCCUGUUCCUCCUGAAAGCACCCACCAGACUGCUGGUAACCUGGCAAGAAUGGUCUCAGAGACAAGGUUAGACCUUUCUCUGAGUUAAACUUGAGUUUAAGGUACCUGCUUUAGCAAGGAGGCUUGGACUCAAUGAUCUCUUGUGGUCCCUUCAAACUCCUGCAAUUCUGUGAUGCUGCAAACUUUGGUCAAUUUAAAUGUCCUCAUGAUCUGGAAGGCACAAACCAACCUACAGGUUGCAUGGCAACACAUCCAUUCCCAUGCUGCCUUACUCAGUUCUUACUCUGAAAUCUGUCAAUAAAGACCCUGUGAAUGACUACUAGUUUCUCUACCACCAAUGAGUAAAGAUUUGGUAUGGGAAUCAAUAACCCCUUAAAUUAAUUAUCAGUUACAAUAACAGAUGACCAACGAGCUUGGCUAUGCAUGCUAAUUAUUUACUAUGCGCUAUGGGAAGGAAGGCAGCCAAAAACACAUCUGUGCCUCCUAGAUGCGCUGUGGGAGAAAGGGAGGAUGAUUUGGGGCUUUGAGCCCAGGACAGCUCUACUGCUCAGCUACUGCGUGACCUCUUGCUCCAUCUCCUCCCUUCUCCCAGAAUGACACCAGUGUCACUACGAUCACUGAGUGCCAGGUUUCAAAACAUUUUGAGUCACUAAACAUUUGGAAAGAUGCCCAGUGGGACUUUCAGACCUGCACAGACAUCGACAAAACCCCACAAGCAGUUAUCUGUAUCUGUUGGGGUCUCAAAAUCUUUUAAUCCCGACCCUUCGUCUCAGUGGGUUUUGAUAUCUGUGGAUGAAUACCCUCUCACGAGCAUGCAGCAAUUCCACUGAAAAAUGACUGCACAGGCAACAAGUCAUGAGAUGCAUCCAAUUGAUGUUUAGCCGCUGCAAACACCAGUACAGUGCUUCUGGCUGUGUCACACUGUGAUACAUGUGAAG